UACGUAGGGGGCAAGCGUUAUCCGGAUUCACUGGGUGUAAAGGGAGCGUAGACGGCGACGCAAGUCUGGAGUGAAAGCCCGGGGCCCAACCCCGGGACUGCUCUGGAAAUUGCGGCGCUGGAGUACGGGAGGGGCAGGCGGAAUUCCUGGUGUAGCGGUGAAAUGCGUAGAUAUCAGGAGGAACACCGGCGGCGAAGGCGGCCUGCUGGACCGUGACUGACGUUGAGGCUCGAGAGCGUGGGGAGCAAACAGG
rnacentral:rRNA from 1 species